rnacentral:rRNA from 1 species
CUGGUUGAUCCUGCCAGUAGUUAUAUGCUUGUCUACCAAGAUUAAGCCAUGCAAGUCUAAGUAUAAGCAAUUACACAGUGAAACUGCAGAUAGCUCAUUAUAACAGUUAUAAUUUACAUGAUAUGAUAUGCUACAUGGAUACCUGUAGUAAUUCUAGAGCUAAUACAUGUCCGUAAGUUCCUUAACGGGAAUGGGCUUAUUAGGUUCCCUUGUCAACCCGGGCAACCGGUUCUAUGGCAAGUCAUAAUAAUUUCUGAAUCGCAUGCUUUAGGGCGGCGAUAUAUCAUUCAAAUUUCUGCCCUAUCAGCUGUGAUGGUAGUGUAGUGGACUACCAUGGCGAAUACGGGUAACGGAGGAUUAGGGUCCGAUUCCGGAGAGGGAGCCUGAGAAACGGCUACCACUUCUAAGGAAGGCAGCAGGCGCGUAAAUUACCCAAUCCCGAUACGGGGAGGUAGUGACAAGAAAUAACAAUACUAGGGUCAAUUUGGCUUUAGUAAUUGGAAUGAGUACAAAGCAAAAUUAUUAACAACGAACAAUUGGAGGGAAAGUCUGGUGCCA